rnacentral:rRNA from 1 species
UCCGUAGGUGAACCUGCGGAGGGAUCAUUACCGAGUUUACAACUCCCAAACCCCUGUGAACAUACCUUAAUGUUGCCUCGGCGGAUCAGCCCGCGCCCCGUAAAACGGGACGGCCCGCCAGAGGACCCAAACUCUAAUGUUUCUUAUUGUAACUUCUGAGUAAAACAAACAAAUAAAUCAAAACUUUCAACAACGGAUCUCUUGGUUCUGGCAUCGAUGAAGAACGCAGCAAAAUGCGAUAAGUAAUGUGAAUUGCAGAAUUCAGUGAAUCAUCGAAUCUUUGAACGCACAUUGCGCCCGCUGGUAUUCCGGCGGGCAUGCCUGUUCGAGCGUCAUUUCAACCCUCAAGCCCUCGGGUUUGGUGUUGGGGAUCGGCUCUGCCUUCUGGCGGUGCCGCCCCCGAAAUACAUUGGCGGUCUCGCUGCAGCCUCCAUUGCGUAGUAGCUAACACCUCGCAACUGGAACGCGGCGCGGCCAUGCCGUAAAACCCCAACUUCUGAAUGUUGACCUCGGAUCAGGUA